UACAGGGGGUGCAACCGUUGCUCGGAAUCACUGGGCGUAAAGCGCACGUAGGCGGCUUCUUAAGUCAGGGGUGAAAUCCUGGAGCUCAACUCCAGAACUGCCUUCGAUACUGGGAGUCUCGAGUCCGGGAGAGGUGAGUGGAACUGCGAGUGUAGAGGUGAAAUUCGUAGAUAUUCGCAAGAACACCAGUGGCGAAGGCGGCUCACUGGCCCGGUACUGACGCUGAGGUGCGAAAGCGUGGGGAGCAAACAGG
rnacentral:rRNA from 1 species